GAUGAACGCUGGCGGCGUGCCUAAUACAUGCAAGUCGAACGCUUCACUUCGGUGAAGAGUGGCGAACGGGUGAGUAAUACAUAAGUAACCUGGCAUCUACAGGGGGAUAACUGAUGGAAACGUCAGCUAAGACCGCAUAGGUGUAGAGAUCGCAUGAACUCUAUAUGAAAAGUGCUACGGGACUGGUAGAUGAUGGACUUAUGGCGCAUUAGCUUGUUGGUAGGGUAAAGGCCUACCAAGGCGACGAUGCGUAGCCUACCCGAGAGGGUGGACGGCCACAAGAGGAGGUGAACAACGGCCCGGAGACCUAGGGACGGCGCAGGUGGGUAAUUUAGGGAAAUGGGGGAAACCUUGACCAGGCAACGAGAGGUGAAGGAAGAAGUAAUUCGUAAGGUAAAAUUCUGUUAAGGGGGAGAACGGUGGAUAUAGGGAAUGAUAUCCAAGUGACGGUACUCUAUAAGAAAGCCACGGCUAACUACGUG
rnacentral:rRNA from 1 species